rnacentral:rRNA from 1 species
UGCGUAGGCGGCUCUAUAAGUAUGGUGUGAAAUCUCCCGGCUUAACUGGGAGGGUGCGCUAUAGACUGUGGGGCUAGAGUGUGGGAGAGGAAAGUGGAAUUCCUGGUGUAGCGGUGAAAUGCGUAGAUAUCAGGAGGAACACCGGUGGUGUAAACGGCUUUCUGGACCAUAACUGACGCUGAGGCACGAAAGCGUGGGUAGCAAACAGGAUUAGAUACCCUGGUAGUCCACGCCCUAAACGAUGCAUAUUUGGUGUGGGUCAUUCAGUUGAUCCGUGCCGGAGCUAACGCGUUAAAUAUGCCGCCUGGGGAGUACAGUCGCAAGGCUGAA